CCUGAGAAACCCGAAAGAUCGAAUGGGGAGAUUCAUCGUCAGCGACUUUGGUACGUGUGCGGUUCGCGAUGCCGGGAACUUCGGUUUCAUGGCACGCGUCCGCAUGUUUUUUAUUGCCCGAGUCGUCGGCGUGCACUUCUCCCCUAGUAGGACGUCGCGACCCGUUGGGUGUCGGUCUACGACCCGGCGGUAGCCUGUCUCGUGUGCGCUUCAUCGCGUUUCGCGGGGCAGACCCCUGUGUGUCUGGCCGGCUGCCCGGCGGUACUCGCAUGGUAUCUGGCCGCAAACAUUCGAACUGCGUCCGGCCCGUCGCAAGCGAGACAAGUGUUUCCCGGCUGUACGGAUCUAAUGCCGUCACCGGGCCUUGCCCGCUGUUGGUAGACGGUGUCCUAGGACUGGCUAAUGCAAUUAUGAUACCGGUCGGCGACGCUACUGCUUUGGGUACUUUCAGGACCCGUCUUGAAACACGGACCAAGGAGUCUAACAUGUGCGCGAGUCAUUGGGAUCUAUUAAGCCUAAAGGCGCAAUGAAAGUGAAGGUCGGCCUCGCGCCGACCGAGGGAGGAUGGGCCGCGUCACGAUGCGGUCCCGCACUCCCGGGGCGUCUCGUUCUCAUUGCGAGAAGAGGCGCACCCAGAGCG
rnacentral:rRNA from 1 species